GCGAGAAACCUUUGCAAUGUGCGCAAGCACGACAAGGUUAAUCCGAGUGUUUCCUGCUAAAGGAAUCUUUUGUUAGUUCUAAAACCACUGAUGAAUAAGAGGUGGGCAAGUUCUGGUGUCAGCCGCCGCGGUAAAACCAGCACCUCAAGUGGUCAGGAGGAUUAUUGGGCCUAAAGCAUCCGUAGCCGGUUCUGUAAGUUUUCGGUUAAAUCCACUAGCUUAACUAAUGGGCUGCCGAAAAUACUGCAGAACUAGGGAGUGGGAGAGGUAGACGGUACUCGGUAGGAAGGGGUAAAAUCCUUUGAUCUAUUGAUGACCACCUGUGGCGAAGGCGGUCUACCAGAACACGUUCGACGGUGAGGGAUGAAAGCGUGGGGAGCAAACAGGAUUAGAUACCCAAGUAGUCCCUGAGCGGGCUGGCAAGGCGCAU
rnacentral:rRNA from 1 species